UAAGCACAAAAUAAACAGAGGCCCAGGGAGCUGAAGUUUUCCCAGCAUUUCCCAUUGGAAUUCUCUCCUCCACCCUGAGGAAUGAGACCAAGGGUGAGAGAAUAGCUGCAAAUUCAUUGAGCCUCAGUUGCCACAUCUGUCCAAUGGAGAAAAUCUGCAGAGGCUCUCAGAGCUGCAAGGAGGACUCAGGGAGAUACGGAUGCACAGAGGUGGGGGGGUGGGCUCUGAAUUCGGCCAGAGCAGGGUUCAAACCUUAGCUCUCCCCCAUUGUAUGACCUGGAACAAGUGAGUUUCAUUCCCUCAUCUAUGAAAUGGACAAUAUGGACCAUACCGAGGAUGCCUAGUGGUGAGGAUUCAAUGCAAUCAGAUGUGCCACGCACUGAACACAGAGCUGAGCACAUAGUAGGUGCACAAUAAAUGCUGGCUAUCAUCACCAUCAUCAUCAUCCCAGAGUCCAUUUCCCCAUUUCUCUCCCCCUUCUCUCCAGCCAAAAACUUACCUGCCCCCUCCUGCCGGAACUGCCGUGUGUUAGUGACCCUUGGCUAGGUUGAUAAGGUAAUUCCCGCCCACGGCUUGAAGAUACCACUCUGCCCAGAUAACCACGUUUGCCUGGUUACCCUUGUGCCUUAACCCCCAAAGAGCAGCAGUGAGGAAAUUAAGCAGUGGAUGGAGAAGCUAGUGUUUGGACGCCCCCGCACC